rnacentral:SRP_RNA from 1 species
GGCCGGGUCCCGCGCAACGGCGCCCCGCGAACCUCGUCAGGCCCGGAAGGGAGCAGCGAUAAGCGGAUAGCGGAGUGUGCCGCGGUCAAAUCCGGUCUCG